rnacentral:rRNA from 1 species
UACGGAGGGUGCAAGCGUUAUCCGGAUUCACUGGGUUUAAAGGGUGCGUAGGUGGGUUGGUAAGUCAGUGGUGAAAUCUCCGAGCUUAACUUGGAAACUGCCAUUGAUACUAUCAGUCUUGAAUAUUGUGGAGGUAAGCGGAAUAUGUCAUGUAGCGGUGAAAUGCUUAGAUAUGACAUAGAACACCAAUUGCGAAGGCAGCUUACUACACAACUAUUGACUCUGAUGCACGAAAGCGUGGGGAUCAAACAGG